rnacentral:sRNA from 1 species
CUGACAGCCCUGCAAACCAAAGUCAUCUAUUUGUGCACCAGACAGGUACAGGAUAGGAAGCAACAGUGCAUGCUUCCCUACACUGCCCUGCCAUUGUGCCUCAAACCUGAUCUGGAGGUCCCACCUCUAGGAGUGAGAUGGUCAUUCCAUCUCUAUAGUACAUUCAGGCCUUGGUCUUU